CGGGUCGGCCAGACGGUCGCGUCGCGGACAACGGCUUCGGCCGCGGUCCGUGCCGAGGAACGUCCGGGCUCCGCAGGGCAGGACGGUGGGUAACACCCACCCGGGGCAACCCGCGAGACAGUGCCACAGAGAACAGACCGCCACGGGCUCCGGCCCGCGGUGAGGGUGAAACGGUGGGGUAAGAGCCCACCAGCGGCCGCGGUGACGCGGUCGGCUCGGUAAACCUCGUUCGGAGCAAGGCCAGACAGAGCACUAUGGGGCUGCCCGUCCCGUGCUCGGGUAGGCCGCUGGAGGGCCGCGGCAACGCGUCCCCGAGAGAGAUGGCCGUCGAACCGCGUCGCGAGAGCGCGCGGGGAACAGAACCCGGCGUAUCGGCCGGCCCGCUCA
rnacentral:RNase_P_RNA from 1 species